rnacentral:tRNA from 3 species
GCCCGGAUGGUGGAAUCGGUAGACACAAGGGAUUUAAAAUCCCUCAGCGUUCGCGCUGUGCGGGUUCAAGUCCCGCUCCGGGUACCA